CUGUGGCUCAAUGGUAGAGCACUUGUCUAACAUGCAUGAAAUUCUGGAUUCUGUCUCCAGCAG
rnacentral:tRNA from 1 species